CGGAUUUUGACGCCAUAUGACGCCAUUUCCAUGGCAACUGGUCCGAAAACUUCAUGGUAGUUACCACUGACCAGGCUUAAUUCUGAGCCCACGGCAGUUUUAACACCCCCCUGGUUUUUUGCAAAAGAUUUGGUUUUUGCAGAUAAAUAUUUAUAGUUCUCGUUGUUUUAAAUCUUUUGUAUAAAUUUUGAGAUAUAUUUACUACCUUUGACCAUUUGGUUAAAGGUAUGCAAGUCGUACGUGUUAUUCUCGCCCGCGAAAGCCAAACAAAACCUCGAGAAAUGUGGGAAAAGAGUAUUAAAGACGAUACUUGAGUCGGGUAAAAGGUAGGAAAUGUCUAGUCAAUUUUACUCAUUCUUUAUCUUAUUUGACAUGAAAUUGAUAAGCCUAACGAUGAAAUACACUUCAUUUGUUAAGAAAACAAGCUUUCAGCUUUCUACAGUCCAAAUUUCAUAUUGUAAGGUGUAAAUUUUCCCAUUAUUUUAAUUAACAAGCUGUAUUCACAAAUACUUAAUAGUUCUAUGUAAACAACACAGAUUUGAUAUUCACAAAUUUGUACGAUAUAUACUGUCUAAACUCACUAAAGUGCAAACUAUCUUGUGUAAUAAUGUUAAAAAGGUUGACUGCAGAGACCUGAGGUCUCGUUUUAUUACUUUUAUAAACAUACUUGAUACAAUUAAAUUUAAAUUAGCAAUUUAUUUUAAAUUAGCUUGCGUAAGAUGAACGUUUAAAAGUUGUACACGUCAAAUGUAAGAACAAUUUGUUAGCCUGAGGACGGAUAGUAAACUAUCCGAAACGUAGCUAAAAUAAAAGUAUUAUCAAAAACCUCUUGUGUGAUCCUUGAUUUAAAUUAAAAACACAAAAUUAUUUAAUAUGAACAGAGGUGAAAGUUUCAGAAAAGCAAUUCAGAAAAGCAAUACUUGAUACACUUGAUGAAACUAUGUGUUUGUAGGGUUUGUGUUUAAUAUGCACCAACUUUUGUAUAAUUAUUAAAGUUACUGGGGUACUGGAAGCUAGCUUAUCCAGGAAGGUAGUUUCUGUCUACCUAUAAAAUACUGAUUGGGGACACUUUUUGUGUCAUUAUACACCUGAUUAUAAACUCCUUAAGCUUUAAGCACCAGUGCUCUCCCCUCAACAAGUAAAAUUGUUUGUUUAUCAAUUUAUAUAAAAUAGGGUGCACUAGUCUAAGGUACAAUGCAACUUUUAAAACAGCUUAAUGAAAGCAUUCCUAAGCAACAUUGUAUGUAGACUGCGAGCAAUCCCUAAAUCUUAGUCCGGGAAACAAUAAAACGAAGGAAAAUAGAGGGAUUGCUCGCAGUCUACAUUGUAUGCAGACCUUUAAGAUAGGAAUAAACCUGCAGCCAUCAGUGAUUCUGAUGCAGUGUUCAAACCAAUUUAUACUGAUCAGCUACUGUGUCGAGCUGUAAUUGCAAAUUAAUUCAUGUACAGUAAAUAUCAUAAGGUGAAGCCUGUAGUAAGGUGUAAGGGUAAAUGUCAGGAUUUUGGACAUCGCACUCAACAGAUUGUUAAAUAUCAAAGGUAGCGUCACUAGACGAAUAUUUUAAGUGUCAAUUUUAUGCAUAUUUAGACCUAACCAACCUAAAAAAUAUAGUUGCAUCUUUUGCAGCUGCUUUAACCAGGUCUAAAAAAAUAUGUACAAAAUUUACACUCAAAAUUUUCAUCGAUCUACAAAAAUCCUUCAACAUUCAGUGAUGUACAUCAGCAUUGCCAUGUAAAACCCUUUUCUCACCAAACAUGCACUUACUGCAUGUAAUAGUUGGUGCAUGGUCAACAUAGGAAUAUUUGCACAAGAAUAGACAUUACCUCUCAAUUCUAUAUUUUUCUCAUACAGAAUACAUGGUCUGCUUCAUUAAAUUAAUAUGUAGUUUUUAGAUAAUAAUUAAACUGCUUUAUAUUUUUUUAGACCAAGAAGUGUUCUCUUAAAUUAAGGGAGAGGUAUUGUCAGUGGCAAAUUGAGGAAUCUGAUGCAUUAUUUGGUGGAAUAUUGCAUGUGCAUGGUCAUGAAAUUAUUACUUCAAUGCUGCAAUCCUCAAGGUCUGAAAAUUGGAGGUUUUGUACCAACCUCUGCUAAUCAGCAGGGAUCGUUCAAAAGAUGUGCUUAAAUUAAGUAACACUUGUCUACUAGUUUUGUGAAGAAAAUGAAACACUCUUGAUGACAUAUACUAGAUUUGUUGAAAUAGUUGAACUGAGGCAAUGAUAGCAAUUCAGGCAUUUUUGGGGAACAUUUUUAAAAAUGUACUUGUUUUUAAAGAGUAAAUUUAUAUUUGACCCAUAAUUUUCUCAGAACCAAUCCAAUAUUUAUCAUUACAUUAAACAUAUUUUCAGAGGUCAAGUAUUACUAACAGUGAUUUGAGCUCUAGGUGUGGAAAUAGAAAUCACAAAAUGUUAAUAAUAAAUGAAAAUUUUAAUAAAUUUUAUAUAUUUACAUAAUUUACAUAAUACGUACUGUACUGUAAUUUAGUAUUUAUGACAACAAGUAUUUAUAAUCAUUCAAAAUUGUAUUGACAGAAUUUAAUUACAUUAAUAAGGGGGCAUUCAUUAUUGAUGUGGGGGGGAUGGGUGAGAAACUGGGGGGGACCUGAGAUUUUCCCAGAUGAAAAGGGGGACUGCAAUUCUGGUAUUAAAACCAAAUCCUGGGGGUACCUGACAUUGAAGGAAGACACAUCUACACAUUUCAAAAUUCAUGGUGAGGGUAAAAACAAAAAGAAAUCAGAUUUACAUAAACUUCAUCUUAAUAUAUUUAUGAAGUUAUCAAAUACAUCAUUUCUGAAGUUAUUCAAAACACUCACAGUACAUGUUUCAUCACAUCUAUUAAAACACUUGGGUAUCACCUCGUGUUAUAUUAAUCUGAUAAAAGGUUGCUGUUGGUACUUUGAAUAUAUUUUAAUACAAAUAUAAUAACUAACUUUCUUUUCUGCUCUCUCAGUCCCUGCUAUACAAUUGUACAAACAUGGACAUACUACAUUUAGACACAAAGAUGUACAUUUAGAUUUAAUGUACUGUAGUGUUAAAAAAUUAAAUGUGACUGUGUGUAGUACUCUUUAUUGUCAAUAAAAAAGAGUUGUGCCAUAACUUCAAUUUGUUCUUCUCCAUUUUGGCAUCCUGUGCCAUCACUUCCGGUACCUGUAUUAAUUAAACAGAUCAUUAUUAUACCACAAUCAUGUUAUUACACAUCUUUAGUAAUUAACAAAAAUAUAAUAUGUAUUGC